UCCAGGGUAGCCUAGUGGACAUGGGAGCUGCCUGGUAAGCAGACACAUUGUGGGUUUAAUUCCCAUGCCUGGAC